rnacentral:rRNA from 1 species
UGGGGAAUAUUGGACAAUGGGGGAAACCCUGAUCCAGCGACGCCGCGUGAGUGAAGAAGUAUUUCGGUAUGUAAAGCUCUAUCAGCAGGGAAGAAAAUGACGGUACCUGACUAAGAAGCCCCGGCUAACUACGUGCCAGCAGCCGCGGUAAUACGUAGGGGGCAAGCGUUAUCCGGAUUUACUGGGUGUAAAGGGAGCGCAGACGGCAAUGCAAGUCUGAAGUGAAAGGCGUGGGCUCAACCCAUGAACUGCUUUGGAAACUGUAUAGCUUGAGUGUCGGAGGGGUAAGCGGAAUUCCUAGUGUAGCGGUGAAAUGCGUAGAUAUUAGGAGGAACACCGGAGGCGAAGGCGGCUUACUGGACGACAACUGACGUUGAGGCUCGAAGGCGUGGGGAGCAAACAGGAUUAGAUACCCUGGUAGUCCACGCAGUAAACGAUGAAUACUUGGUGUCGGGGAGGUAAACUCUUCGGUGCCGCAAGCUAACGCAUUAAGUAUUCCGCCUGGGGAGUACGUUCGCAAGAAUG